rnacentral:lncRNA from 1 species
AAUCUGCUGGGGACUUAAUCUUGGAGUUUCCAGUCUCCAGAAUUAUAAGAAAUAAAUUUCUAUUAUUUAUAAAUUAACCAAUCUAAGGUAUUCUGUUUAGCAGCCCGAAUAAUGGACUAAGACAGACGCCUAACAUAUGAUCUAUCCUAGAUAAUGCUCUCUUCGCAUUCAGGAAGAAUGUAUAUUCUGCUUCUGAAUGGAAAAAAACAAAAUCAGGAUCAGGCACGGUGGCGCAUAAGGCCAGGAGUUUGAGACGUCUAGGCAACACAGCAAGAUCCAUUUGGUCCAAAGUAUAGUUCAAGUCUAAUGUUCGCUUAUUGAUUUUCUGUCUUGAUGAUCUACUGUUUGUUCUAAGUGGGGUGCUGAAGCCCCGUGCUAUUAUUGUAUUGCUGCCUAUUUCUCUCUUUGUGUCUGUUAAUAUUUGCCUUACAUAUUUUGGUUCUCUGGUGUUGGGCACAUAUAUAUUUACAAUUGUUAGUCCUCUUGAUGAAUUAACUCCUUUAUCAUUAUAUAAUGAUCUACUUUGUCUGUUUGUCAAUUUUUGACUUAGUCUAUUUUGUGUGAUAUAAAUAUGGCUACCUUGCUCUCUUUUGUUUUCUUUUUGCAUGGAAUAUCUUUUUCACUUUCAGUUUACAUGUGUCCUUAAAGCUGAAGUGAGUCUCUUGUAGGUAGCAUAUAGUUGAGGGGAGGGGGGUCUUCUUUUUUUUGUUGUUGCUGUUUGUUUGAUAGGGUCUUAAUCUGUCACCCAGGUUGGAGUGCAGUGGUAUGAUCACAGCUUACUGUAACCUUGAACUCCUGGACUCAAGCAAUUCUCUUGCCUCAGCCUCCCGGGUAGCUAGAGGUACAGGCAUACACCACCGUACUGAGCUAAUUAUUUUAUUAUUAUUAUUAUUAUUAUUUUUUUUUUUAGAGAAAGGGUCUCAUUGUGUUGCCUAGACUGGUCUCAAACUCCUGGCUUCAAGCCAUCCUCCUGCCUUGGCCUCCCAAAGUGCUAAGAUUACAGACAUGAGCCACCUGGCUCUGUUUUUUUUUUUUUUUUUUUUUUUUUUAGUCCAUUCAGCCACUGUAUGUCUUUUGAUUGGAGCAUUUAAUUCAUUUACACUCAAUUAAUGAUAGGUUUUCAGGUGCUGGUUCCAUGGCUCUUCCUGAGCCGAAAAUAAGGAAACUCCAUAGACCUUGUCCACUGGAACUCGUUCCCAUCUACCCUCCACUCUAUCCAGCCCCAUGAGGACAAGGAACAUGAUUGGUUUUGCUCACUGCCGUAUCUUCCGUACCUAGUACGUAACAGGACAUCAAUAAAUAUUAGUUGAAUGGAAGAUUAAAUCAACAAAAUGGGUGAUGGAUCUCUGCAGUAAGUGGAAGAGUUCUUCAUGGCCCCCAAGGUUAUAUCCAUCUAGAACUUCAGCACGUAAUUUCAUCUGGAAAUAGUGCCUUUGCGGAUAUAAGUUAGGUAAAACUGAAGAUGAGAUCAUACUGGAUUAGGAUGGGAUCUAAAUCCAAUGAAAAUGUCUUCAUAAAAAACAGGAAAGAACCCAUAGAAACACAAGGAAGAAGGUCAUGUGAAGAUGGAGGCAGAGAUUGGAGGGAUGCAGCCACCGGCCCAGGAAUGCCAGCAGCCACCCAGAAGCUGGAAGGAAAUGAGGGAUUCUCUCCUAGAACCUUUAGAGAGAACAUGGUCCUGUGAACAGCUUGAUUUUGGACUUGCCCAUAGCUUGUAUACUCUUACUUUGGAUACAAUUUUAUCCAAACUUGGCUAAACAGUUUCUCAGCCUAUGGAAAAUUUAAAAUGGAGAAGAUUCAACUCGAUUCUUACAGAUUCAAAGCAAGAAAAUGAUGGGAACAUAGGAGGAGACCAAGAAAGCCUAUAAAAAGCAAAAAUAUGAAGUGAACAUUGUGGUAGCUUUAAGAUGUUUAGUGUAGCUGCAGGCACCCUAUACACAUGAAAACCCCCAAGGGGAAUCCCCAUAUCACAGUGUAGUGUGAUAUUUGACAUUCGUGAUCAUCUAGAGAUGUACAGAAAAGGUGAAUCUGUGUUCUGUAUAUUCUGCCUAAGGCAAAGAAAUGUUUAGCUCUCUUUAAAAUAGUUCCAUAAUUUUUUCUAAAAAGCUUUGCUUGAAAACUGUAAGCUUCCCAUAUCUGGAGCAUUUCACUUUAAAUAUUUGGAUAAAUAUGUUAUCUUCUUACUUGGACAUUUCAUGUGUUUAGGGAUUGUCUUCUAAAUUCUUCCUAAUUCAUAUAGCUGCUAACACUUCCCGCAGAGCUAAACCAUUACAGAUAUGAAAUAAAGACCUAUUGAUUUGACUUACUUUUACUUGUAAAACCUUCUGAGUGUUAUAACCUCAUUUAAUCUUUCAGCAUUUACAGUUUCAAGAGUUUGUGUCACAAUUAGAAGAAUUCAGCUGCACCUCCAAGUGACAGCAGUUGCUCUGGUUGGUGGGUGAUCUCAGGAGGCUUGAGAAUUGCUUUGUCUGUGAGGGAAGUAAGACAUUUUCAGAGCCCCACUUUAGAAGGUGUGAACUGGCUAGAUAAUGAACCCCAGGGCUAACGCUGCUAUAGCAGUGGGAAGGAGGUGAUGGGUUUUCAGUUUGGACCUCAAACAUCAAUACCCUCCUGGUACGGGGAGGAACAGAGUCCCUCCUUUACUUCUCCAUUAGAAAGAAUGAGAUGGCAAGACAAUGAAACAGGCAAAGUGAACAGAGAUGCAAGACAAAAUUCAGGUGAGAGAGCCAGAGCAUCACUCAGCCAUUCCUGACAUGUAAAACAGGCAACUAGAAAUUUGCAGAAAGGAAGCGAAGUCUCCAUAAAGAUGUUUUUAAAGUGAGCUUGAAGUAUUUGGAGACAAUUCAGUGUUACAUAAAAUCUGCAAAUCUCUGGAUAAAGAAGCAGAGAUCCCAGCAUGGGACAAAUGGAGCCUCAAAAGUGGGAAGAAGACAGAGAAGACCAGGGCAGAAUGCAUCUCUUCCUUUCUCUUGGCUUUCCUGGAUAAGGACUGCAUCAUUCCUGUGGAAGGACAGGCCAUCAGCUCCGAAACACUGUAUGUAUUUUCCAGUAUAUACUGCUAGCUGUGUGAUGUUGGGAAAAUUUGUUACCCUGUCUAACCCCCACUUCCCUCAUCUGUAAAAUGGAAAUAAUGAUAGUACCUACCUAUCUCAUAGGUGGCAACUACAAGGGGCAGCACACUCAGGGAAUUAAGGAAGUUUCAGUGAACAUCAACUUUAUGAACACAGUGUUCAUAAAGGCAGGUCAGUGCAGUGGUUUGGGAGCCAGGAGAAGCACGUGGGCCGGAGUGUGCCUGCAGGAGACAAGGUCAGAGAUGUUGCUAAUAAUGGAGAAUAAAGGAUGCAUUCUCAUUACUGACCUUGGAGUCGUUCAUUCAUUCCCAGAAUGUGUUUUGUCAGCUUACUAAAACACUAAGUUAAAUAAUCCCAGGUUUUGUUUAUU